UACGUAGGGGGCGAGCGUUGUCCGGAAUUAUUGGGCGUAAAGGGCGUGUAGACGGUCAGAUAAGUUACAGGUGAAAGCCCAUUUUUCAAGGAUGGAACUGCCUGUAAGACUGUAUGACUUGAGUGCAGGAGAGGGAAGCGGAAUUCCAAGUGUAGCGGUGAAAUGCGUAGAUAUUUGGAGGAACACCAGUGGCGAAGGCGGCUUUCUGGACUGCAACUGACGUUGAGGCGCGAAAGCGUGGGGAGCGAAC
rnacentral:rRNA from 1 species